rnacentral:tRNA from 1 species
GGUACAGUGGUGCAAUGGGUAGCACGGUCGCCUCGCAGCACGAAGGUCCUGGGUUCACAUCCCGGCCGGGGCC